rnacentral:rRNA from 1 species
CCCAAAAGCGGAGGAAAAGAAACCAACAGGGAUUGCCUUAGUAGCGGCGAGUGAAGCGGCAAAAGCUCAAAUUUGAAAUCUGGCUCUUUCAGAGUCCGAGUUGUAAUUUGAAGAAGGUAUCUUUGGGUCUGGCUCUUGUCUAUGUUUCUUGGAACAGAACGUCACAGAGGGUGAGAAUCCCGUGCGAUGAGAUGAUCCAGGCCUAUGUAAAGUUCCUUCGAAGAGUCGAGUUGUUUGGGAAUGCAGCUCUAAGUGGGUGGUAAAUUCCAUCUAAAGCUAAAUAUUGGCGAGAGACCGAUAGCGAACAAGUACAGUGAUGGAAAGAUGAAAAGAACUUUGAAAAGAGAGUGAAAAAGUACGUGAAAUUGUUGAAAGGGAAGGGCUUGAGAUCAGACUUGGUAUUUUGUAUGUUACUUCUUCGGGGGUGGCCUCUACAGUUUAUCGGGCCAGCAUCAGUUUGGGCGGUAGGAGAAUUGCGUUGGAAUGUGGCACGGCUUCGGUUGUGUGUUAUAGCCUUCGUCGAUACUGCCAGCCUAGACUGAGGACUGCGGUUUAUACCUAGGAUGUUGCCAUAAUGAUCUUAAGUCGCCCGUCUUGAACCCA